rnacentral:rRNA from 1 species
UUGGCGGACGGGUGAGUAACGACGUGGAAAACCUAGCCGUAUACUGGGGGAGUAACACUUAGAAAUAGGUGCUAAUACCGCAUAAGCGCACAGCUUCGCAUGAAGCGGUGUGAAAAACUCUGGUGGUAUACGAUGGUUCCGCGUCUGAUUAGCUAGUUGGUGGGGUAAUGGCCUACCAAGGCAACGAUCAGUAGCCGGCCCGAGAGGGUGAACGGCCACAUUGAGACUGAGACACGGCCCAAACUCCUACGGGAGGCAGCAG